AUGCGCCCAACUCGAGGGGCCCAUGGUUUUCCUGCCAUUGUUAAGGCCACCGCUGCUGCUUUCCCCAAAAUAGAGAAAUUGGGUGAAGACGUUUCCACCCUCAGUCUUGAAGAGGCUCGAGGCCUUGUUGAUUGGUUACAGGACACGCUGAGUGUCUCUAUAGCUUCUUUCGCACCUGCUAUUGCAGUUCCAGGUAUUGCAGGGGAGCUGCUAAUACUUCAGUUCUCCUGUUGUUGAAGAGAAUACUGAGUUUCAUGUAGUUAUUGAGGAGGUUCACAGUAAUGCUCGUAUAGCCACCAUUAAAGUGGUUAGAGCUCUGACAAACUUGGCUUUGAAGGAGGGUAAGGACAUUAUUGAGGGGUUACCCAAGAACUUCAGAGAGUGGAUUUGGAAGGAGGAUGUGAAGAAGCAACUCGAGGCGGUGGGGGUAAAGAUCUUUUUUAUUCUAGAAGCCAUAACCUUAUAUCUAAGCUACAAAUCCUUAGAUUCAAUUUUAGCCUCUCUCAAUUAUCUAUAG